CGAAGAAGAAUUCCACGGUCUGAGCCAAUCAGAGGCAGAGAAGAGGCAGGCCUACGUCUCUGAUCCUGGUAACUAACUAACUGAGUCUGGAGCCUGCUGAUGGCUGAUGUGACAGUGUGCACACAAAGGAGAGAGAAACCGAGAGCUGAAACCGAACCAAGUGGGAGGAAGGAGGAACAGCCAAUGGACCAAAGGGGAUAAUGCAUCUCGAGACGAGGGAGGUGGAAAGCAGGCAGGAGAGAGAUGUGUUGACGCUUGACCCUGACAUCCUGAGUGAACGGCUCCUGGCUUCUGUUUUCACCGACCAAGGAGCUGAGGCUGCAGGUAACAGCGGCAGGUUCAGGUCCGCCACCCGGCGCUGGAGGGACGACCGCAACUGAACCGAGUUCCUCUUUGAUCCUCCCGCUGUCCCUCUCUCUCCUGCGGCUCCGGCUCCUGGCAGGUCUCUCCUCUU